UGUGCUCUUCAGAUCUGGUAUAUGUAAUAAAUGCAGAAAUACAUACAUGUGUAUACCUCCUCACAAACACUCUUUCAUAACACCUUCCUAAAACACACAUGCACUAACAUCCCACACCCCUACUAACCUUCACCACUACACU